CAACACAGGAGGACACUGAAGUCUUGGCUCAGAAAUUGCACACUCUACCCAUGUGCUAUUAGCCAAAACAAGUUGCAGGGUCAAGCCUGAUUGAGGGAUGGAGAAGCACACUCUGCCCUCCCUCCAUGAGGCCCAGAAAAAGUGUGGAUGCAGAAGAAAGUUGGAAUUGGGGGUAAAACUCUAUAACCAACACAGCUUAGCCUCUUAA
rnacentral:lncRNA from 1 species